rnacentral:rRNA from 1 species
GACGAACGCUGGCGGCGUGCUUAACACAUGCAAGUCGAACGAAGUGGCGAACGGGUGAGUAACGCGUAAUCAACCUGCCCUUCAUGGGGGGAAAACAGUUGGAAACGACUGCUAAUACCGCAUACUGAUGGAGGGGUUUGCAUCUGAAUAGCUAGUUUGAGGGGUAACGGCCCACCAAGGCGAUGGUCAGUAGCCGGUCUGAGAGGAUGAACGGACAAAUUGUGACUGAGAAAAGGCCCAGACUCCCACGGGAGGCAGCAGUGGGGAAUCUGCCGCAAUGGACGAAAGUCUGACGGAGCAACGCCGCGUGAGUGAUGACGGCCUUCGGGUUGGAAAGCUCUGUUAAUCGGGACGCGGUACCGGAAUAGAAAGCCACGGCUAACUACGUGCCAGCCGCCGCGGUAAUUC